rnacentral:rRNA from 1 species
UACGUAGGGGGCUAGCGUUGUCCGGAUUUAUUGGGCGUAAAGAGCGUGUAGGCGGCCAGGUAGGUCUGCUGUGAAAACUCGAGGCUCAACCUCGAGACGUCGGCGGAAACCAUCUGGCUAGAGUCCGGAAGAGGAGAGUGGAAUUCCUGGUGUAGCGGUGAAAUGCGCAGAUAUCAGGAAGAACACCCGUGGCGAAGGCGGCUCUCUGGGACGGUAUUGACGCUGAGGCGCGAAAGCUAGGGGAGCGAACGGG